AUUUUCUUAGUACAACUAGUACUGGUGACUUCCAAUUACCUAAUCUUGGUUUAAGCCCGAGAGAAAAUA
rnacentral:tRNA from 1 species